ensembl:lncRNA
GGGGUGGCUAUGGGGUCUGUGGGAUGGCUGUGGGGUCUGUGGGGUGGCUGUGGGGUCUAUGGGGUCUAUGGGUAUGGGGUCUGUGGGGUGGCUAUGGGGCAGAUAUGGGGUCUGUGGGGUGGCUAUGGGGUCGCUGUGGGGUCUGUGGGGUGGCUAUGGGGUCUGUGGAUAUGGGGUCUGUGGGUAUGGGGUCUGUGGGGUGGCUGUGGGGCAGAUAUGGGGUCUGUGGGGUGGCUAUGGGGCAGAUAUGGGGUCUGUGGGGUGAGUAUGGGGCAGUUAUGGGGUCUGUGAGGUGGGUAUGGGGCAGAUAUGGGGUCUGUGGGAUGGCUCUGGGGUCUGUGGGUAUGGGGUCUGUGGGGUGGCUAUAGGGUCGCUAUGGGGUCUGUGGCUAUGGGGCAGAUACAGGGUCUGUGGGGUGGGCAUGGGGCAGUUAUGGGGUCUGUGAGGUGGACUUGGGGCAGAUAUGGGGUCUGUGGGUAUGGGGUCUGUGGGGUGGCUAUGGGACAGAUAUGGGGUCUGUGGGGUGAG